ensembl:lncRNA
UCUACAAAGAAAAAAAAACAACCUGGAGGAAAUGAGACUGAACAUCACCAAACAAAUUGAUGAUCUUGAAAAUGAGAAAGAUAAAAUAAAACUCAGACAAGAUGAACUAGAGCAACUACAAGCAGAGAUUCAUAAACAACAAAGUGAAAUGAAAAAGGAAAAGAACAACAUUGAAAGUGAAAGAGUUGCAGUGAUCCGGGAAAAACAGGACAUGAUGACUGAGCUGAGAAAGAAGUCUGAAGAUGUUGAGCUUCAGAUGAAGGAGCUAUUGACUAAUCAGGAAAUAUUGAAAAAUGACAAACAACUGCUGAAGAGAGACAUGGAAGAUCUGCAACAAAAACUAGUUAAUGUAGACAGAGACUCAGAGAGUCUGAAACAUGAGAGAGAAGCUUUGGAGAAUGAGAAGGAAGUAAUAAAAAAGAUCAAAACUGACCUGCAAAGAGAGACACAAGAGUUCGAGAAGAUCAAACUACAAACACAAGAUGAAAGACAAAAACUGGAGGAAAUGACAGCUCAACUCCAGAAAGAGAGGAAAGAAAUCAGUGAUCUCAUGGAGGAAAUUAAAAAGAAGGGAGAUAUUCUGGAUGAAAGCUAUACUGAAAUACAAAGGGAACAAGAAGCAAUGGAGAGAGGCAAAGACUUGAUUAGAAGGGAACGGUCUGACCUAGAGAAAACUAAAGCUGAGAUGUCUCAAACCAAGGAAGAGCUUGAAAAACAGAUUUCUCAACAAAAAACAAACAUUGAGAUCACACUGGCAGAGAUGCAUCAAGAGAGAAACAUGCUUGAACAGAUGACUGGGAAUAUAAGAAGAGAAAAAAUGGCACUUGAAGAUGAAAAGCAAGAGUUGCAAAUAGAAAAGGAAGAUCUUGAAAGAAUGCGGGCAGACAUCGAACGAAAACAAGAAAAUAUUGAUCACCUGAGAUUUGGCAUAACAGAAGAGAGUCUACUUGAGAAGUCAGAGGCUAAAAUGUUUCUUCAAAAGAGUGAGGUGGAUGUAGUCAAAUCUUUAACAGACAAAGAAAUGUCAGAUCCAGAUGGGAAAUGUGUCUUGAUGGAGCAGAUGCUGGAAAUGGACUUAAAAGAUGCAUUAGAAACAGAUGUUGAGAGCCAAAAGUCAGACUUACCUGAGGCUGAGGAUUUACCUCAUAAACAGGAGAUGAUGUUAGAGAAGACGUUUAUUGAAGAUGAAAAGGACAAACUGGAACAGAUGAGAGCUGAACUGCAAAGGGAAGCUGAACACAUUGAAAAGGAAAAGCAGGACAUGCACAAUGAAAGACAGAAGCUAGAAGAAAUGUCAGCUCAACUUCAGGAAGAGACAAGAAAUCUUGAAAGCCUUAAUGAGGAGAUUAAUGUUCAAAAAUGUAAUCAACAAAAGCAAGCAUCUGAGUUUGAAAUGGAGAAGACUGAUUUAGAGAAAAUAAAAACAGAAAUUGCUAAAGCCAACAAACUUCUUGCAGAACAGCAAGAAAGGAAUGAGAUGACAAUAAAAGAGAUGCGGACAGAGAGAGACGCUCUUGAAGAAAUGAGGGCGAACAUCUCAAAACAAGUGGAUACUAUUCAAAAAGCGAAUGAAAGCCUUUCUCGCAGAGAAAGUGAACUUGCUAAGCUGCAGGAAACCAUUUUACAACAACAGGAUGAAAUGGAUGAACUGAAAAACACAAUUAUGAUGGAAAUGAGUCAACUGGACCAGAGACAAACUGACGUUGAUCUAUUACAGCGAGAGGUUGAUGAUCUAAUGGAAUUCACAAAGACAGAAAUGACCAACGUAGAAAGAGAUAGAGUGGAAAUGAUGGCACAGAAGAGAAAUGUAGAGAGAGAGAUGGUCAGUCUAGAGGAAGAAAAGGAGACCUGUGAACAACUGAGACUAAAAUUACUGGAGGAAAAGGAUCAGGUUGAAAAAGACAGAGAGGCGUUGACCAAAAAUUUGGAUCUUAUGGAGAGGCAAAAAAUGGAUAUGGAGAAAGAAUUAAAGAAUCUAAAACUUGAGAAACACACCUUUGAAAAUGAGAAGGAGGAACUAGAGAGGAUGAAAAGCGACCUUCAAAGACAAGCUGAAGACUUGGAUAAACUAUCUGAGAAGACAAAGAAUGAAAGAUGGAGGGCAGAAGAGAUGGCAGCCAAAUUUAAAAAGCAAUUAGACGUCAGUGGUAUUCCAGCGAACUACCAACAGGCGGAAGAGCUCAUGGAUGAGACAGAGAAACAAAGAAAGGAUAUUCAGUCUGCCAAAGACUUGCUUCAAGAAGAAAGAUCUGAGCUGGAGAAAACCAAGGCAGAGAUAAACCAAGCCAUGGAAGAACUAGACAGACAAAGAACUGACUUACAGAGAGAUAAAGACAUUCUGAAGCAAAUGAGUACAGAUAACUUGAGACAAAUAGCUCAAAUUGAAGAUGAGAAGGAACAAUUACAACACAAAGAGAAUGAACUAGAACAAAUGAGAACAGAACUUCAAAAUAAACAAAAAGAAAUGGAUGACAUGAAAAGCAACAUAAUAAAAGAAAAGGAUGAUUUUGAGAAUCUGGAACAAAAGAGAGCCGAGUUGGCUAGAGACUUGGAAAACCUCCAAAAUAUGAAACAAGCUUUUAAAAAUGAACAAGAUGAGCUGGAAAAGAAGAGAGAGGAUAUUAAGAAGUUAAAGCUAGAAGUUCAGAAAGAAGGUCAGUGGACUGCAGAAGAGUUAGAAAAAGAGAGACAACAAUUUGUUAAGGAGAUCAAAAUGAAAAAUGACACCCUGGAUGAAAUACAAGCUGAGAUACAAAGACAAAAACAAGCCAUUGCUGUAGACAAAGCAAUUGUUACAAAGGAAAAGAUGGAUCUGGAAAAAACCAAGGAAGAUUUCAAAAGACAAUCCGAGGAGAGUGACAUCAAACGUGCAGACCUGCAGAAAAAGCGAGAUAGUCUUGAUCAGAUAAGUGUGGAGAUCUUAAAGCAAAUACAUGACCUGGAGAGAGAAAGAGGUGAACUGUUAGAGCAGCGUCAGCUGAUGGAGACACUAAAGAAAGACAUUGAAAAUGUGGAACAGCUGAGGAAAGAGCUUUUGGAUGAAAAGGAAUUGACUGAGAAAAGCAGAACGCAACUGAAACGAGACAUAGAUGAUAUGGAACAAAAUAAAUCAAAUCUACAUAAAGAAUUAGAGGAGAUAAAAGUUCAAAAACAGGAUAUUCAAGAUGAAAGAAUUCAACUAGAGCAAAUGAAAGCUAAGUUAGCAAAAGAAAGAAAAGCAAAUGAUGAAAUGUUGAGAGAGGCUACAAAAGAAAUGGAGAAAUAUGAGGAGAUCAAAUCAAAUAUUUUAAUCCAAAAAGAAGAGUUUGAGACUAAAAGACAAUCACAAGUAGAGGAACUCAUUGGUAUGAGAGCUGAAAUACUCAAACAGAAAGAUGAAUUAGAGGACAAGAUGCAAAAGACUAAACAUGAGAUGAAAGAAUUGAAGCUUCUUCAGGAUGAAACUGAUAGCAUGAGGAAAGAUCUUGAUCACAAGAUGAGACAGGCAGCGAGAAAGAGAGAUGAGCUGGAGAAAAUGAGAGCUGAUAUUGAAAGUGCAAAUGAGAAACUGGAAAUGGACAGAGUCAUGUUAAGUAUAGAGCGUGAGGACAUGGAGCGAAUAAAAGCUGAGAAACAACGAGCAGGAGAGGAACUACUAUCUCAUACGGAAGAAAGAGGUGGAGAUCUGGAAGAGAAAGAACAAAUAAACACCAAGAUACUGAGGCUUAUUCAAGAGGCUGAAAAGACUAGGGAAAUGGCCUGGAGAACAAAACAUGACCUGGAAAGAAGCAUGCAGAGAGAUGUUAAUGUUCAAGCGGAUUCAGAGGAAAGGCAAGAAAUGAGUGCUUACAUGCAGAGGCUGAUCCAGGAAAUUGAACAUGUCAGAGAGGUUCUCAGAAGAAUGAAAGAUGAAGUCAAGGCUGCUAGAAAUGAACGAUUUGAACUGGAGAACAUGAGGCUGGAAGUCGAAGCCAUGAAACAUAGCAUGAAGGAAACCUAUGAGCAACAGAACAAGGAGAUACAAAAAGAGAAGCAGCAAAUUGAGAGUACCAAAGACUUGUUGAGCAAAGAGCGAAGUGAUCUUGAGCAAAACAGAGCUGAUUUGGAGAGACAAAAACAAGAAAUGGCAUUGGACAAACAAAAACUUCAUGACGAAAAUGAACUUCUGAACAAAGAAAUCGUUGACAUGAAGCAGCAAUAUGAAAUUCUCAAAAACCUUCUAGAAGAAACAACUAGAGAAAACACAGUACAAACAGUUAAACAUUCCAGAAAAGAGAAAGAAAUGAGGAGAGAUUCAGAGGAAUUAAGGAAGAAAAUGGAAUCAUUAAGCAUGGAUGACCAGCAAGAAGAGAGUGAGAGUCAGACAGAUGAAAUUAACAGACAAAUAGACAAACUAACAGAGUUGAAGGCUGAGCUGGAUAAACAGCAGGUAGAACUUCAGAAAACUAAAGCAGGCUUAAAACAUCAGAUGGAUGAGCUAGAAAACAUGAGGUCUGAGAUAUUACAACAUGAAAAGGACACUAGAGAGGUGGAGCUGAUGGAUAUACAGAGACAGAGAGAAGUCCUAGAAACAAGGAUUCAGAAAAUGAUGCAUGAGAAGGGAGAACUGGAAGUCUUAAGGUCUGAAAUAUUCCUAGAAAAGAAAGAUCUGGACCAGAAGAUGAAACAAGUGAUAAGAAAGAGGGAUGAGGUGGAGAAAAUGAAGACUGAGAUAGCAAAGGAAAGAGAGGAGAUCAACAGAGAGCGGCAGGAGCUGGAAAUACUCAGAAAUGAUGUUCAAUGUGCAAGAGAGGAUUUUGAGCUAUUGGUGGAGAAAACUGUGAAUCUAGAAGAUGAGGAAAGCACCAAUGCUGACAUCCAAAGACUAAUUUUAGAGGUUGUAAAAAUCAGGGAAAUGGUGAGAAAUCUUAAAGUUGACAUGGAGAGCAGGAUGGAGGAAAGUAAGUUGGUGAGAGAUGAAAAGGAAAACUUCAAGUCUGAGAUCCAGAGGCUCAUUCAAGAUAUUGGACAAAUACGGGAAAAUCUUGGAAGCCUUAGAAAAGAGAUAGAAACCACCAGAAGAGAUAAGAAUGAAUUGGAGAAGAUGAGAGCAGAACUUGCAGAAAAGCAACAGGUGGAAGAGAACAUGAGAGAAAUGCUGCAGAAAGAAAGAGAAGAACUGGAGCAGUUGAAGGAUGAGAUAAACAGAGAAAAGGAGGAUGUGGAGACCAAAAGAGAGCUGGUUAAGGUAGAAAUAGCUAAAGAAAUAAUGGAAGAGUUUAAGGAUACAAGAAAGAACAAGGAAGAACUGCAAAUGGUCACUAAGGAACUCUUGAGAAACAAGCGUGAUCUGGAACAGCUCAACAGAGACAUACAAAACCAAUGGCAAACCAUGGAAGACAUGAAAACCCUGCAUGAAAAGAAAAAGGCUGAACUGGAAGGCAUUACUUCUGAAGUAAAGAGGGGAGAGCGGAUACUGGAGAAGCAGAAACAUGAGUUGGAAGAGAAAAGUUGGAUUGUUGAAGAAAUGGAGAAAAAGAAAGAUACACUUGAAAAGAUCAACAUGGAAAUACUGAGGAAGCAAGAAGAUAUAGAAAAAGAAAUGGACAAUUUAAGGCAAGAGAAGCAAGAGCUGGAGCUCUCUAGAAGUGAACUACAGAGACAGAGAGUUGAUGUUGAAUCUUCAAAACAUGCUUUGAUCAUGGAGAAGGAUCGGUUCAAAGAUGAACAAGCUGAAAUCAAUCAACAAAGGCAUGAAGUGAGUGCUGCCAUGAAGGCUUACGAUGUGGAACUGAAAAAUCUAGAAAAGACGAGGAAUGAACUAGAAAACGAGAGGGCUAAACUUGAUGAAAAACUCCAUGAUGCUACAAAAAUGGAGGAGAAACUACAGGAGAUGAAGAGUGAACUAAACAAAGAAAAAGAGCAAGUGGAAGAAAUGAAGCAGAUGGUCAGCACAGAGAGACAUUUGAUUGAACAAGAGAAUGCUGAGCUUCAGAAGAAGUCAGAGAUCACUGACAGACUCAUUCAGGAAGCAAACAACGAGAGGGACAGAUUAACAGACCUCAGUUUAAAACUUCAAACACAAAGAGAAGAUAUAGAGAAUAUCAUCACCGAAAUAGAGACCAAGAAGAAAGAUCUCAGUAUAAUGAGUGCAAAACUUCAAGAUGAUAAGAUACAACUGAAAAACGACAGAGAUGUUUAUGAAAGGGAAAUGACAUAUCUGCAGCUUAAGAGGGAAGUGUUAGUGAGAGAAACAGAGGACCUGGAAAGAAAAGCCUUACAGCAGAAAGAACAAGAUGAGAUGGCGAAACAAGAGAUUCAAAAUCACAAAGAGGCUCUAGAGCAAAUGGAGGUGGAUAUUCUGAAGGAAAGAGAUGAUGUUGACAAAGAGAAGAAAACUGUACAUUCAGAAAAACAGAAACUGGAUACACUUCGAGAAGAACUGCAAAGAAAGGAAAGUGAGCUUGAAAACAAAGUAAAAACUUUCAUGGAAGAGCAGCAGCAGCUAAAACAGAUUCAAGAUGAAAUGUAUAAAAUCAAGAAGGAGAUUCAAAGUAAUUUGGAAAGAAAGGAGGCCGAAAUUCAAGAGGAGAGACAGCGAUUAAUGGAAAUGGAUGAAACAAUUACAAGAGAAUGCAAUGAAUACAGAAAGCUGACUGAAGAAGUACAGAAAGAAAAAGAGCAGCUUGAAAUCAGCAAAAAGUUGAUGGAUCAAGAGAAGGCUGAACUUGAAAGCAUGAAAAAUGAUCUGGAGAAGCAAUUACAAAAUCUAAGACAUGAGAAACUGAAUGUACAAGAUGAGAAGAAUGCACUAGAACAAAUAAGAGCAGAAUCCAAAGAGAUUCAAAAUGUUAUCAAGAAGGAAAGAAAGGAUCAAGAGAAAUGCUGGCUGGAAAUUGAGGGUGAAAAGCAAAGAGUGGAGGAAGAAAUCAGACAAUUAGAGAGACAGAGGGAAGAAACUAACAAACUUCACAGUGAGUUGCAAAUAAUUAGAGAUGACAUUAAAAGUAAGAAAGAAAAUAAUGAUAAAGAAAUGGAAGAAUUAUUGCAAAUGAGGGUUGACCUGGAGAGAACAAAAGUAGAAAUCGAAAAGGAUAAUCAACGACUUCAAGAUGAUAAAUUUAAUCUUGAAAAGACAAAAGCUGAGAUAAAGAUACAAACAGAUAAAAUGAUAAUAAUAGACACCAACCUAAAGGAGAAAGAAAGAGAAAUUAAAGUUCUACUAGAUAAAGACAGAGAAGAAAUUAAAUGUUUGUCUGAGGAGACUGAAAUGAAAAUGAGGGAUCUUGAUAAGAGGAUAAAGGAGAUGGAGAGACAAAAGCAAGAAAUUGAGAAAACAAAAGUGAUGCUUGAAAAGGAAAAGACAGAAAUUGACAAAGAAAAGACAGAUAUUGACAACGAAAAGAAAGACUUGGAAAAACAAAUGAUGGGCCAGAUUGAGCAGAUACAAAAGGACAGACUGGCCCUUGAGGAGAUGAAGGAAGAACUUCUUCGUGAAAAACAAGAAACAGAGGAAGAGAGGGAUAACUUGAUGACGUUAAGAAACAAACUAGAAGCUUUAAGAGCAGAGAUAAAGAACAAGCAAAAUGAAAAUGAAAUUUUGAAGAACAAACUUAUUAUGGAAAAAUCAAGCAUUGAGGAACGGCAAGUCGAGGUACUCAACCAGCAGCGACAGAAUGAUCAAACCAGUGAGGAAAACAAAAAAGAGAGAGAAGAUCUGGAAAAACAGAGAUUUGAAACUGAACAGCAGAAACAGAUAUUGCAGCUUAACAUCAUAAAAAUGAAUGAAGAGAAGCAAAUACUUCAGAAGGCCAAAGAAGAAAUGGAAAACACAAAAUACAUGACCAACAAAGAAAGAGACAAGGUUGAACAAAUGCAAGCUGAAAUACACCAUCAGAUUCAGUCAAUUAAACUACAAAAGCAACUCAUGCAAGACAAGCAGAAUGCUCUUGAUGAAAAAGAGCUAAACAUACAGAGGAAGGAAAGGGAAGUAGAGAAGAGAAAUAUAGAAUUAGAUGGAAUUGCUGCUCAGCUUCACACUGAACAGGAACAUUUAGAUAAAGUUCAUGAGGAAACCAAUACGAGACAACAUGCCCUUGAAGAGAUGCAGGUUGAUAUAGAACUGCAAAAACAAGAAAUCAAUAAGGACUUUGAGUUGCUUAAGAAGAUACGGCAUGAAAUAGACAAUGAAAAUAUAGAAAUGAAGCGGAAAAAAGAUGAUCUGCAGAUCUGGACUACACAACAGAAAGAUAAGGUUCAAGUCCAGUUAGAAGAGCUAGAGAAAGAAAGAGAAAAACUGGAAAAAAUUAAGAUAGAGCUUCUUACUGAGAGAGAACAAACUGAAAAAGAGAAAGCUGAUAUAAAUAUAGUAAAUGAUGAAAUAGAAUCAAUGAGACAAAGAGUGAUAAUUCAGAAGACUGAGCUGGAGCAGAGAGAGAAAUAUAUUACUGAGCAGCAGCAAAGACUGGAUCAAAGUGUAAGAGAGAUAGCGGAAGAAAGAAGGGAAAUGGAUAAGUUGAGGACUGAACUAGAAGCUCAGAGACAAAGAAUGCAAGAGGACAUGAAGACUAUUGCAAAGCAGGAAGAAGAACUUUCACAACUGAGAGAUGAAAUACAAAGAGAAAAAGAAGACAUUGGUGAAAACAGGAACAUGAUUAACAAGUUAACGAAAGAUCUGGAAAUCACGAAAGCCAAGCUGGUGGAACAACAAGAAGUGAUCCAAACUGAAGCAGAAAAACUCCAAAAGGAAAGAAAACUGGUUGACCAGACAAAAUCUGAGAUGCAGAAUGAUGCUGAAAAUCUGAAAAACGUCUUAGAAGAGAUCAAAAGAGAGCAAGAAAAUAUGGAGAUAAGGGAGUCCCACCUUAAACAAAUGAUGGAUCAAUGUGCCAAUACCAUGGAAGAAAAUAAGAGGAAGAAAAGUGAACUAGAAAAGACUAUUGAUGACAUAGAAGAGCAAAAUCAACUGAUUAAGACUGAGAAAGACCAUCUGGAAAAAGAGAGAAAUAACAUUGAAAAGGAAAAAGAAGAAUUGCAAAGACGAGCUGAUGACCUGGAGAUGAACAUGACAGAACAAAAAGAAAAAGAAGAGAUGAGUAAAAGAUCAAUGCAUGAUGAGAAAAAGCUUCUUGAGGAAAAGGCUGGUGAAAUCUUGAGACAGAGAAAUGAAAUAGAGAAAGAAAAAGAGGACAUUAUGAAGAAGUGGAAUGAGCUGGAUGUUCUCCGGAAGACAUUAGAAAAACAAAGAGACGGAAUGGAAGAAAUCAAAUAUGAGUUACAGACUGAAAAGGCUGAAAUUAAUCAACAGCAGCAAAGCCUGGAGGAGAGUAUAAGAGCUGUGAAUGAGGAGAGAAGAGAUCUGGAGAAUAUGAGGAAUGAAUCUGAAGAAUAUAGACAACAAAUGGGAGUAAAACUAAAGAUGGAGAGAGAGGAACUUGAUCAGAUGAAGAGUGAUCUGGAAAGACAGAAAACUGAAAUAAAUCAUGAGCAGAAGAAAAUAUAUGAUGACAGAAAUAUUAUUGAACAGGGAAGAAAUGACCUGGAGAAAAUGAGGUCUGAAAUAUUGUUACAAAGAAAGCAAAUAGAAGAAGAGAGAUCAAACCUUGACAACAAAAUAAAACAGACUGAUCUAGAAAAAUGUGACAUUGAGAAGAGCAAAGAAAUUGUACAGAAGAUACUAGAUGAGGUAGAAGAACAGAGAAAUUAUAUUAAACUCCAUGAAGAAAAACAUGAACUUGAGAGACAAAAGAUCAAUGAUGAAAAAGAUCUUCAGGCUCAAAUAAAGACUAAACUGCAAAAAGAGAGUGAAGACAUCAGAUGCAUGGAAGAGGUAAUAAAGAAAGAGAGAGAAACGCUGAAAGAAAUGGAAGCUCUUUUACAAAAGGAAAAGGAAGAACUUGAUAGUGUCACUGAAGAAACGACUAGACGAAAAGAAAAUCUGGAAAUGAUGAGCACAAAUAUAAAUGAACAAAACCAAGAGCUGAGAAAAUACAGAGAGGUUCUAGAGCAAGAGAAAGAUGAAAUACACAAUAAAUGGAUACAGUUACAGCAGAGAAUUGAUGAAUUUGAAACUCAAGUUAGACAACAGAAGGAAAAUGAUUUAAUAAAACAGGAGGAGAUGGAAGAAGAAAGAAAAAGUCUAAAACUGACCAAAGUCAAGAUCCUGGAGUUGAAGACUAAAGCUGAGCAGGAACAACAAGACAUAAGCCUAAAAAUACAAGAGUUGAACACACUGCAAGAACAUAUAAUGAAAGAAAAGGAGAAAGAAGAAGAAAUGAGAGUAAAAGCAAAGAUGGAAAGAGAAGAACUUGACCAGAUAAAGAGGGAAUUGGAACAAGAGAAAACUGAAAUGGACAACGACAGGAAGAUGAUUAAAAAGGAAAGAGAAGACCUGGAGAAGAUGCGGUCUGAAACAAUGACAGAAAGAGAACAAAUGGAAAAACACUUGAAAGAGACUAUCAAACUAGAAAGAUCAGCACUUGACCAGAAAAUGCAAGAGAUUGAUCUUGAAAAGGAUGAAACUGAAAAGAACAAAGAAAUAGUUCAGAAAUUAAUGGAUAAAGUAGAAGAGCAGAGAAAUUAUAUGAAACUCCAGAAAGAAGAACUUGACCUCGAAAGACAAAAGAUCACUGAUGAAAAAUUAAUUCUAGCUCAAAGUAAGACAGAGCUGCAAAAACAAUCUGAACAAAACAAAUACAUGGAGGAGGGAAUAAAGAAGGAGAGAGAAACACUGAAGGAAAUGGAAGCUUGUCUACAAAAGCAAAAGGAAGACAUUGAGAGUGUCACUGAAGAAACAAAGAGACAGAAAGAGGAUCUGGAAAAGAUUAGCACAAACAUAAAUGAACAAAAACAAGAGUUGAGUAAAUACAGAGAUCUUCUAGAGCAGGAGAGAGAAGAACUGAACAAUAAAUGGACACAGUUACAGCAGAAACUUGAUGAAUUUGAUACUCAAGCCAGGCAACAGAAGGAACAAGAUUUCAUGAAACAGAAUGAGAUGGAAGAAGAAAGAAAAAGUCUAGAACAGACCAAAGUCAAGAUCCUGGAGCUGAAGACUAAAGCUGAGCAGGAACAACAAGACAUAAGCCAACAAUUACAAGAGUUGAACACUCUGCAAGAACAUUUUAUUAAAGAAAAAGUGAAAGAAGAAGAAAUGAGAGUAAAAGCAAAGAUAGAGAGAGAAGAACUCGAUCAGAUAAUAAGGGAACUGGAACAAGAGAAAACUGAAAUGGACAAUGAUAAGAAGAUGAUUGAACAGGAAAGAAAAGACCUGCAAAAGAUAAGGUCUGACAUCAUGACAGAAAGAAAGCAAAUGGAAGACAUGAGAGAAGCAAUCAAACUAGAGAGAUCAGCACUUGUCCAGAAAAUACAAGAUAUUGAUCUAGAAAAGGAUGAAAUUGGAAAGAACAAAGAAAUAGUUCAGAAAUUAAUGGAUAAAGUAGAAGAGCAGAGAAAUUAUAUGAAACUCCAGAAAGAAGAACUUGACCUCGAAAGACAAAAGAUCACUGAUGAAAAAUUAAUUCUAGCUCAAAGUAUGACAGAGCUGCAAAAACAAACUGAACAAAACAAAUACAUGGAGGAGGGAAUAAAGAAGGAGAGAGAAACACUGAAGGAAAUGGAAGCUCGCCUACAAAAGGAAAAGGAAGACAUUGAGAGUGUCACUGAAGAAACAAAGAGACAGAAAGAGGAUCUGGAUAAACAAAAACAAGAGAUGAAGAACAGCAGAGACCUUCUAGAACAAGAAAGAGAAGAAAUAAAGCAUAAAUGGACAGAGUUACAACAGAGAAUUGAUGAAUUUGAUACUCAAGCCAGGCAACAGAAGGAACAAGAUUUCAUGAAACAGAAUGAGAUGGAAGAAGAAAGAAAAGGUCUAGAACAGACCAAAGUCAAGAUCCUGGAGCUGAAGACUAAAGCUGAGCAGGAACAACAAGACAUAAGCCAACAAUUACAAGAGUUGAACACACUGCAAGAACAUAUUAUGAAAGAAAAAGUGAAAGAAGAAGAAAUGAGAGUAAAAGCAAAGAUAGAGAGAGAACAACUCGAUCAGAUAAUAAGGGAACUGGAACGAGAGAAAACUGAAAUGGACAAUGAUAAGAAGAUGAUUGAACAGGAAAGAAAAGACCUGCAAAAGAUAAGGUCUGACAUCAUGACAGAAAGAAAGCAAAUGGAAGACAUGAGAGAAGCAAUCAAACUAGAGAGAUCAGCACUUGUCCAGAAAAUACAAGAUAUUGAUCUAGAAAAGGAUGAAAUUGGAAAGAACAAAGAAAUAGUUCAGAAAUUAAUGGAUAAAGUAGAAGAGCAGAGAAAUUAUAUGAAACUCCAGAAAGAAGAACUUGACCUCGAAAGACAAAAGAUCACUGAUGAAAAAUUAAUUCUAGCUCAAAGUAUGACAGAGCUGCAAAAACAAACUGAACAAAACAAAUACAUGGAGGAGGGAAUAAAGAAGGAGAGAGAAACACUGAAGGAAAUGGAAGCUCGCCUACAAAAGGAAAAGGAAGACAUUGAGAGUGUCACUGAAGAAACAAAGAGACAGAAAGAGGAUCUGGAUAAACAAAAACAAGAGAUGAAGAACAGCAGAGACCUUCUAGAACAAGAAAGAGAAGAAAUAAAGCAUAAAUGGACAGAGUUACAACAGAGAAUUGAUGAAUUUGAUACUCAAGCCAGGCAACAGAAGGAACAAGAUUUCAUGAAACAGAAUGAGAUGGAAGAAGAAAGAAAAGGUCUAGAACAGACCAAAGUCAAGAUCCUGGAGCUGAAGACUAAAGCUGAGCAGGAACAACAAGACAUAAGCCAACAAUUACAAGAGUUGAACACACUGCAAGAACAUAUUAUGAAAGAAAAAGUGAAAGAAGAAGAAAUGAGAGUAAAAGCAAAGAUAGAGAGAGAACAACUCGAUCAGAUAAUAAGGGAACUGGAACGAGAGAAAACUGAAAUGGACAAUGAUAAGAAGAUGAUUGAACAGGAAAGAAAAGACCUGCAAAAGAUAAGGUCUGACAUCAUGACAGAAAGAAAGCAAAUGGAAGACAUGAGAGAAGCAAUCAAACUAGAGAGAUCAGCACUUGUCCAGAAAAUACAAGAUAUUGAUCUAGAAAAGGAUGAAAUUGGAAAGAACAAAGAAAUAGUUCAGAAAUUAAUGGAUAAAGUAGAAGAGCAGAGAAAUUAUAUGAAACUCCAGAAAGAAGAACUUGACCUCGAAAGACAAAAGAUCACUGAUGAAAAAUUAAUUCUAGCUCAAAGUAUGACAGAGCUGCAAAAACAAACUGAACAAAACAAAUACAUGGAGGAGGGAAUAAAGAAGGAGAGAGAAACACUGAAGGAAAUGGAAGCUCGCCUACAAAAGGAAAAGGAAGACAUUGAGAGUGUCACUGAAGAAACAAAGAGACAGAAAGAGGAUCUGGAUAAACAAAAACAAGAGAUGAAGAACAGCAGAGACCUUCUAGAACAAGAAAGAGAAGAAAUAAAGCAUAAAUGGACAGAGUUACAACAGAGAAUUGAUGAAUUUGAUACUCAAGCCAGGCAACAGAAGGAACAAGAUUUCAUGAAACAGAAUGAGAUGGAAGAAGAAAGAAAAGGUCUAGAACAGACCAAAGUCAAGAUCCUGGAGCUGAAGACUAAAGCUGAGCAGGAACAACAAGACAUAAGCCAACAAUUACAAGAGUUGAACACACUGCAAGAACAUAUUAUGAAAGAAAAAGUGAAAGAAGAAGAAAUGAGAGUAAAAGCAAAGAUAGAGAGAGAACAACUCGAUCAGAUAAUAAGGGAACUGGAACGAGAGAAAACUGAAAUGGACAAUGAUAAGAAGAUGAUUGAACAGGAAAGAAAAGACCUGCAAAAGAUAAGGUCUGACAUCAUGACAGAAAGAAAGCAAAUGGAAGACAUGAGAGAAGCAAUCAAACUAGAGAGAUCAGCACUUGUCCAGAAAAUACAAGAUAUUGAUCUAGAAAAGGAUGAAAUUGGAAAGAACAAAGAAAUAGUUCAGAAAUUAAUGGAUAAAGUAGAAGAGCAGAGAAAUUAUAUGAAACUCCAGAAAGAAGAACUUGACCUCGAAAGACAAAAGAUCACUGAUGAAAAAUUAAUUCUAGCUCAAAGUAUGACAGAGCUGCAAAAACAAACUGAACAAAACAAAUACAUGGAGGAGGGAAUAAAGAAGGAGAGAGAAACACUGAAGGAAAUGGAAGCUCGCCUACAAAAGGAAAAGGAAGACAUUGAGAGUGUCACUGAAGAAACAAAGAGACAGAAAGAGGAUCUGGAUAAACAAAAACAAGAGAUGAAGAACAGCAGAGACCUUCUAGAACAAGAAAGAGAAGAAAUAAAGCAUAAAUGGACAGAGUUACAACAGAGAAUUGAUGAAUUUGAUACUCAAGCCAGGCAACAGAAGGAACAAGAUUUCAUGAAACAGAAUGAGAUGGAAGAAGAAAGAAAAGGUCUAGAACAGACCAAAGUCAAGAUCCUGGAGCUGAAGACUAAAGCUGAGCAGGAACAACAAGACAUAAGCCAACAAUUACAAGAGUUGAACACACUGCAAGAACAUAUUAUGAAAGAAAAAGUGAAAGAAGAAGAAAUGAGAGUAAAAGCAAAGAUAGAGAGAGAACAACUUGAUCAGAUAAUAAGGGAACUGGAACGAGAGAAAACUGAAAUGGACAAUGAUAAGAAGAUGUUUGAACAGGAAAGAAAAGACCUCCAAAAGAUAAGGUCUGACAUCAUGACAGAAAGAAAGCAAAUGGAAGACAUGAGAGAAGCAAUCAAACUAGAGAGAUCAGCACUUGUCCAGAAAAUACAAGAUAUUGAUCUAGAAAAGGAUGAAAUUGGAAAGAACAAAGUAAUAGUUCAGAAAUUAAUGGAUAAAGUAGAAGAGCAGAGAAAUUAUAUGAAACUCCAGAGAGAAGAACUUGACCUCGAAAGACAAAAGAUCACUGAUGAAAAAUUAAUUCUAGCUCAAAGUAAGGCAGAACUGCAAAAUGAAAGCGAACAAAUCAAAUACAUGGAGGAGGGAAUAAAGAAGGAGAGAGAAACACUGAAGGAAAUGGAAGCUCGCCUACAAAAGGAAAAGGAAGACAUAGAGAGUGUCACUGAAGAAACAAAGAGACAGAAAGAAGAUCUGGAUAAACAAAAACAAGAGAUGAAGAACAGCAGAGACCUUCUAGAACAAGAAAGAGAAGAAAUAAACCAUAAAUGGACAGUGUUACAACUGAGAAUGAAUGCAUUUGAUGCUCAAGUCAGCAAACAGAAGGAAGAAUAUCUAACAGAACAAAAGGAAAUAGAAGAAGAAAGAAAAGGUCUAGAAGAGACCAAAGUCAAGAUUCAAAAGCUGAAAACUAAAGCUGAGCAGGAACAUCAAGACAUAUGCCUAAAAAUGCAAGAGUUGUGCACACUGCAAGAACAUAUUAAGAAAGAACAAGAGAAAGAAGAAGAAAGGAUGGUAAAAGAAAAGAUGGAGAGAGAAGAAUUUGGUCAGAUAAAGAGUGAACUGGAAAGAGAGAAAACUAAAAUAGAUCAUGAGCAGAAGAAAAUUAAUGAUGCCAAAAAGAUCAUUGAACAGAAAAGAAAUGACCUUGAGAAGAUGUGGUCUGAAGUAAUGUUACAAAGAAAACAAAUAGAAGAAGAGAGAUCAGAACUUGACAACAAAAUAAAACAGACAGAUCUAGAAAAAUCUAAUAUUGAGAAAAGCAAAGAAAAUGUACAGAAAUUAUUGAAUGAGGAGGAAGAAAAGAGAAAUAAUAUUAAACUUCAUGAAGAAGAAAUUGAACUUGAGAGACAAAAGAUCAAUGAUGAAAAAGAUUUUCUGUCUCAAAUAAAGACAGAACUGCAAAAAGAAAGUGAACGAGUGCAAUACAUGGAAGAGGAAAUUAAUAAGGAGAGACAAACAAUGAAAGAAAAGGAAGCUCAUCUACAAAAGGAAAAGGAAGAAAUUGAGAGUGUCACUGAAAGAACAAACAGACAAAAAGAAGAUCUGGAAAGGAUGAACACAGAUAUAAAUAAACAAAAACAAGAGUUAAAGAACUGCAGAGACCUUCUAGAAAAAGAAAGAGAAGAAAUGAAUCAUAAAUUGACAGAAUUACAACAGAGAAUUUAUGAAUAUGAACAGUCAAAGACUGAGUCUAUGAGGAAUGUUCUGGAGGACACCAGAAAGAAAGAUGAAAAAACAGAAAUGGAAGAAAAACUUAAACAGGCUAAUAAGGAAUAUGAAAGAGUCAUAGAAGAAACAAACAGGAGAAGGGGUGAAUUAGAGAAAAUCAUGUUUGAUAUAUCACAACAAAAUCAAAAGUUUGAGACAGAGAAAGAUCUUCUGGAAAAAGAUAGAAAUAACAUUGAAAAGGAAAGAGAAGAUUUGCAAAGAAGGGCUGAUGACCUAGAGAAGCACAUGACAGAACAAAAAGAAAAAGAAGAGAUGAGUAAAAGAUCAAUGGAUGAAGAGAAGAAGCUUCUUGAGCACAAGGCUGGUGAAAUCUUGAGACAGAGAAAUGAAUUAGAGAAAGAAAAAGACGACAAGAUGAAGAAGUGGAAUGAGCUGGAUGUUCUCCAGAAGAAAUUGCAAAAACAAAGAGACGAAAUUGAAGAAAUCAAAAAUGACUUACAGACUGAAAAGGCUGAAAUUAAUCAACAGCAGCAAAGACUGGAGGAGAGUAUAAGAGUUGUGAAUGAGGAGAGAAGAGAUCUGGAGAACAUGAGAAAUGAUUUUGAAAAAUACAGACAACAAAUGGAAGAAGAAAUGAGAGUAAAAGCAAAGAUGGAGAGAGAGGAACUUGAUCAACUGAUGGCCAAGAUAUUGAUAGAACAAAAAGAAACUGAUAGGAGCAAGGAUAUGAUAGACCAUCUAAAGAAGGAAAUGGAGCAAACAAAAGCCGAACUCAAUGCUCAAGAAGAGCAAAUCAAACUGGAAUUGCAAAUAGUGCAAGAUGAGAGGCAAGAUCUGGAACAGUCCAAGGCUGAAAUCAAGAGACAGACUGAUAAAACAGAGAUCAUGAAAGAGCAGACACAACAGUUAGAAAAAGAGAAAGAUGUGUCUGAAACAUUAAAAGAAGAACAUCUAUCUGGACAGCUUCUUCAACAGAAGAGAGAAGAAAUGGCCUCUCAAGGAAAACAGAUACAGAUAGAUGAAGCCAACAGACUCUUGUCCGAGAUUCAAAGGGAAAGGGAAGCACUUGAAAGAAACAAAAAAAUCCUUGAACAUCAGAGAGAGGCACUGGACGAGAUGAAGAGAAAACAACCAACACAGAGGCUGGAAUUAAUUUUGGUUAGUUCUGCUACACAAACAUCUGAUCUAGACAACAUUCCUGUAGGUAACAUUUCAGCCCCUCAGGAACAGAUUGUUGAGGAACACACAGGCAUUCAUAAGGAAUAUACAACUUUCAUGACAAAAGGGAUGGAAGACGAAUUAGAGAUGAUGAGAGAUCAGGAGGACACAGAGCUCAAAAUGAGAAGUGAAGAAACCAAAAUGGACUCGAGCCAAGAAGACACUGCACUGGCAAAAGAAUAUAAAGAUAUACCUGAUCCAUCCAUGACAGUAAAGUUGGAGUUCAAUAAAGAUGAAGUCGAUGGCCUUACUGAAAUGUUGAUGACGGAGAAAAGGGAACUAGAAAAGACAAGACUUGUUUUACAGAGAGACCAGAAAGAGAUUGAGACAAUGAGACAACACACUGACAGAGAGAGGAAGAAGCUGGAGAAACAAUAUGAAGAGAUGGAGUUAUGCAGACAGAAUAUGGAAAAUGAAAGAUCUGAGUUAGAAAUGACUCAAGAUCAAAUUAAGAUGGACAUGGAAAAAAUUCUAAUGGAGAUCAAGAGCAAACAGGAGAAAAUAGAAAACAUGGAAUUUCAACUACAAAAAAAGAAGAGAGAAAUGGAAACCAUCUCUGCUGAGAUGAAACAGAGACAAGAGGAGUUGGACUUCAUAAAUACAGAGCUAAAACGAAAGAGACAAGAGAUGGUGGACACCAAAGAAAUGGAGGAACACGAGUUAACUGAAAUACUUCCAGAGAGAGAGGAGUAUAUAAAAAGACACCUGGAGGAAAUACAGAACCAAAAGGAAGCAUUAAGAAAGGAGAGGGAUGAAGUUGAAAAAAUACUCACUGGGCUGCAGAAGGAGCAAAUGGAAAUGGAGAUGCGUCAGGCAAUGCUGAACUCAGAAAGAAAUGAACUGAAUAGAAUGAGAAUCGAUCUGGAGACACAUAAAGAGGAGUUUAGGCUUAUGAAACAAAACACAGAGACAGAAAGAGACAAGCUGGAAUCAAGGUUAAGGAGAGCAGAGGACAUAGAAAGACUUUUGGAUGAUGUACUGAAAGAAAAGAAAAGGGUAGAAGAAAUGGCAGCUCAACUUUUCAAAGAACAGGAAGAGUUUAAAAUUAUUAUGACUGAGGCGAAUAAAAGGAUAAACAAGAUUAAACAGAUUGAGGAGGAAAUGAAAACAAAGCAAGAAGAAAUGGAGCACACUGAAGAACUGAGACAAAAAGAGCUUCAUCAAAGGAGAGCAGAAUUUGAAAAAAUGAAGACUGAAAUUGACAAUGAAAGAGAAGAAAUUCAGAAGAUACAAAGGGAAUGUGAGAGAGAAAAACAUGAACUGGAGCAAAUAAAAACAGAUUUGCAGAAAGAGGAACCACAGAAAACCAAUGCAGAAGUGCAAUAUGAUGAAACUCACAGUGUUAUGCACACAUUAAAAGAAGAGAAAGAUGAAAUAGAAAGGAUGAAAGCCGACCUCCAGAAUGAGCAGAGAGAAAUUGAAAACACGAUGGACAUUAUAACAAGAGAGAAGGGUGAGCUGGAAAAGAAGAAAGCUGAAAUGCAGCAAAUGGCUGCAGAAAUAAGGGACACGGACAGUGAUAAGAACUUACAAGAUAAAAUUAUCCAGAUUGAAGCAAUCCUCAAUGAAACCAAGAGACAGAAGGAUGACCUGGAACAGAUGAAUGACAAUUUGAACAGAGAAAAAUCAGAAUUGAAAAGCACUUGUCAGUUUCUAGAAAAAGAAAAGAGAGAAGCAGAAAUGAGAUUACAGGACAUGGUGAAUGAACUGAAUAUUAAGCUUAAGGAAUUAGAAAAUCUACAGUUCAAAACAGAGGAGAGAGAGGCAGAGAAGAAAAAUCUGGAGAAAUUUAAGGAUGAGAUGGCUAAAGAACGUGAAAAAAUUAAAAAGGAAAAUGAAGAUUUAAGAAUGAGAAGAGAAGAGCUGCUGCACAUGAAAGAACAAAUUCAAAAGCAGACAAAAGACCUAGAAGAAAUGAUGAAUGAAGUGACAAUGGAGAAGAGUGAGCUAGAACAAGAGAGGUGUGAAAUAAACAAACACAAACAACAAGUGGAAGACAUUGGGAAAGCUGCAGAAAUAAAGUGGGUUGAGACACAGGUAGCCACUGAAAGGUCCAGACAAGAUGACGAGGACAUGCAAAUCUUAAAAACUGAGAGAAAAAGACUAGCACAUCUGAAUGAUCAAUUACUGAAAGAGAAAGAGGACGUUGAAACCACCAAAGAGAGAAUUAAUAGAGAGAUGGAACAUAUUGAAAAGAUGCAAACCCAAUUAAAUGACCAAAAAGAAGAGAUCAACCUUGAAAAACAAAAAAUAGAAGACAAAAGGACUGAGAUUCAAGACGAGACAAAUGCUCUAGAGAAAAUUAUGAAGGACUUACAAAAAGAGAGGGAAAAUCUAAAUGCUUUAGUUACUCAACAACAAAAAGAAAGAGAAGAUAUGGAUAAACUAGCAGAGGAAAACAAAAGAAGAGAGAAGCAUGCUGAAGUUGAGAGACAGAGACAGUUAGAAGACAUAGAACAUGUCAAGGUGAGGUUGGCAAAAGAAAGGAAUCAAAUUGAACAGAUGAAUGCAGAAAUACAGACUAAACAUGAAGAGCUAGAGAAAAUAAUCAGAAAACAGCAAGAGGAUUUUGAAAUCAAAGAGAAUGACAUGCAAAGAGAAAGAAAGGCUUUGGAGAAAAUGAAUGUUGAGCUAGAAAGGAAAACCACUGAAAUGGAAAAUAAGAGAGAGAAAGUAACUCUAUGGGAAGCAGAUAUACAGAAACAGAAAACCAAAGUAGAAGAGCUAAGGAAUAUCUUAGAAAGAGAGAAAAUUGAACUUGACAGAGAGAAAGCAGAAGUAAAACAAGAAAAGCAAGAGAUGGAAAACAUUCUGAAAACCAUCAAGAGUGAGUUGGAAGACCUACAGCAAUUGAGAAGUAAAUCUGAGGAAGAGAAGAAAGAUAUGCUGGACAGACUGUUAACAGAAAAACAUGAAAUGGAUCAAUUAAAAACCGAGUUACAGUUGGAGAAGAAGAGCAUUGAAGAGGAAAAGAAAAUGCUGAAGCAGUUAAUGAACGAAACUGAAAAUAAAAAAUCUCAACUGGACAGCAACAUUGUGCAAAUGAACAAUGACAAACAAAAUAUUCAAAAAGAAAAAGACUUGCUGGAGGAGAUAAAGGCAGAUUUACAAAGAAAGUCUGAAAAGCUUAAUGAGGAAAUCAGGAAAACCGACCGAAUCACCUCUCAAACCAGUAAAGACCAAGAGAACAUUCCGAAGAGACUGGAUGACAUGAGAAGAAAAGAAGAAGAGCUCAGUACUAUGCGUGCCGACAUCGAAAGGCAGACAAAGCUUCUGCAAUCAGAUCUACUGCAACUUCAGACACAGAAAGAGAACUUAGAAAAGAGCAAAGCAGAGAAUGAGACUCUAAGAGAAGAUCUCGAAAAGCAAAAAGAAAAAAAUGACUUGACAAUGCAAGACCUUCACAAAGAGAGGCUGACAUUGGAGCAGAAGAUUACUGAUAUAACACAGCUAAGAGAGACAGUGGAAAGCACACAGAAUGAAAUACGACUUAAAGAACAGGAUCUGGAAAACAAAGAAAAAGAACUUGACAUGCAAAGAAAAGAUGUAGAUAACUUAAGAAACAUUGUGAUAGCUGAGAAAAUGCAGCUGGAAAAGAGGCAAAUUGUUAUGAAUCAACAGCAGCAAGAGGUAGAUGGCUUGAUGAAUGAAAACAGAAAAGUGAGAAAUGAUUUAGAGAGCAUGAAAACUCAUCUAGAACAAGACAGACGACAACUACAAGAAAAAAUCAAAACAUUUGAAGAUCAGAAGAAUGUUUUUGAUCAAAUCAAAGUUGAUGCAAAGCAACAGACCGAUGAGCUUGAGAAAAUCACAGCAGAUCCUCUUGGAAAGGAAAGAGAGGAGACUGAUGCUUUGAAGAAAGAAAUCCAGAGAAAGAAAGAUGAACUGCAAAGCUUAAAUUUUGAAAUUGAAAGGUCCAAGCAAGAAAUGGCAGAAAACAGAGAACAGUUUGAAAAAGAGAUGGAAAAUUUAACUCAGAAAAGAGCAGAUUUACUGACAGAAAUUGAUCAGCAAGCCAAGACCCAAAUAAAGAAGAAAGAUGUAAAAACAGCAGUGGAGAGUGAAACACAGAUCCAAGCUGCUUUACAAAAGGUCAAGGAGGACACUGAAGAAGAAAAGACAGAUGCUGAAUUGCAGGCUGAUCUCCAGAAACAGAUGGAUGAACUAGAAGAACUGAGGAACACAAUUGAGGUGGAAAAAAAUCAGAUCGAAAAGAAAAAGCUCACAUUAGAUCAACAGCAGCAGGAAUUAGAAGACAUCAUGGUGGUCAUCAAACGAGAGAGAGAUGUGCUUCAGAAAGAGAAGUCUGAACUUGAUGAACACAGACAUAUGCUCAAUAAAAAUAUCCAGACAAAACAAGAAGAGCUUGAAAAGCUUAAUAAUGACAUUCAAAGGGACAAAAAGGAGAUUGAAAACAGCAAAAAGAUAAAUGAAAGUGAAAAAUAUUGUAUCGAAAAGGAGAGAGCUGAUUUAAACAGACUGAAGAAAGAGGCUGAAGACAGCAAACAAAGCAUACAACAUGAGAGAACUUUGCUGCAACAAGAUAAAGACAUGAUGCAGAAAGAAAAAGAAGACAUGGAAGGCAUUAUAGAAGAAAAGACAAGAACAAUGGAGGACCUGCAAAAGCAAAUAAACAGACAAUUAUCUGAACUGGAGAUGUUAAACAUGGAGAUUCAAAUAAAGAGACAGAAAGUAGAAAUGCAUCGCUUACCAGAAGAGAUGAAAACAAAAGAUCACUCAAAGAGGGAUGCUGAUGUCCUAAGAGAGGAUGUAGAAGUAAAGAAACAAAAAACAGAUGAACUUGAGAUAUAUCAGAUGAAGACCACCUCAGUAGAUGCUGAAACACAAACAUCUUUGGAUGACUUUAAGAAAACAGAUGAUGGUAGACAAAAGGAAUUAGAAGACGAAACGGCUGCAACAAAGAAAAAACAACCCACUGUGGCCAAGUUAAAAGACACGCACCCAUCUGAAGUGCAAGAAAUAAUGGACUCUUUAAACAAAGAAAUUGAAGAUUUGGAGAGAAUGAAGACAAUGAUGAAAAAAGAGAGACAUGAACUGGAACAAGCAAAAAAAGACUUUGAGAGAAAUAUGAAGGAAGUCAUGAAGGAGAAGUCAAGAAAUGAAGAAAAACUGCUACAACUUACACAAGACAAGGAGGAUUUAUCAAACAACCUUGAGAAGAAAAAUAAGGAAAUAGAGAGCAUCACAGAAGCAUUCGUGAUAAAGUUGGGACAACUGGAAGAGACUAUAGGGUCACUGAAAGAAGAGAAGGAAAACAUUGAAAAUGAGUUGCUUCAACAAAAGCAAAAUGAACAGGAGACACUAAAAAUCAAGGGAAAAACAGAUGAUACUUCCAUUAAAAGUGACAGGGAUGCUGAGAAAGUCACAUACAAAAUAGCAUUGGAACAAGUACAAGACACUAAAGAGGAGAAAAAGACAGACAGAGACAGCAGUCUGGAACUGACUGAGAUUCACUGGGCCAAAACAGAUGGAGAAACAAAAGCAAAAAUCUACAAAACUGACACCCAAAGAGAAGUUCUUCAGCUAAUGGAUGGUACAACCCUAGAACGAGAUGAGCUAAACAUCAUGAGAGCUGAACUACAGAGGCAACAUGACGAAAUGGAGAAUAAAAUGAAGAUCAUACAAACUGGCCUUCUUGAGAUGGAGAAGGCAAAGGAUCACCUGCAUAAAUUGAGGGAUGAAUGUAAAACCGCUGAAGAAGAAAAGUCAGGGAUCAUGGAGAGUCUCGAGAGGAGGAGGAACAGCCUGGAGAAGGUUCAAGCUGAGAUACUGAGACUUACCAAGGAGAUUGAUCAUCUCACACAAAGCUAUGAAUGCAAAAGAAGAGAACUGCAACAAAUUGAGACUGACAUACAAAGACAGACAAGGACUGAGGAGACUCAACAGGAAACUAAUAUUCAGAGUGAACAAGAAGAUCAAGAAGUAAUAGCAACUACAAAAUCCAUUCAAGAACAUACAGAGGAUGUUAAGCAGAAGAGAACUCAAGAGACACAAACUGAAGACCAGGAAAGAGAUGCUCUACCACAGUAUGAAGAGAUAGAUGCAAUGAAAAGGAGAAUACAGGAAAUGAAAGAUGAACUAAAGAACAGAUUACAAGACAUACAGAGGAAGGAACUGGAAAGACUGGGAAUGCAAAGAGAACAAAUCGAGUUGGAGCUACGGAAAGCUGAAAUGGAAAGAUAUAAUGAAGCCCUCCAGCAUGAGAGGGAAACUGACAGACUCAUGCUCAUAGAAAAGGAAAAGGAAAUACUUCUGUUAAGGGAGUGUAUGCUGAUUGAGAUCAAUCGACUGAAGAGCGAAGAAACAGAAACAAGUAGUCAGCACUUGGAGAUUAUGGAGCGCCUCAUUAGUGAUGCAGCUCUAAGAGUGGACAGAUUCAGACGGGUGACGGACAGAGCCGUGCAAACGCUGAUGCUGGAAGGAGAUGGAGAGCAGAUUGGAGGAGCUCAAAGAGUGACGACUGAACAGAUGGAAAUAGUCGGUGGAAGGAUGGAGAUUUCUGUGCAUGCCCUGAGUGAAGAGAGGGAGGAAGGAGCGAGAGGAGAAUCCCAGAGAGGAGGCAUAGUCGGGCCAACUUCACGGAGAUUGCGGCUACUGCACUGGAUCAGACGGUGCUGCAGUUGCUGCUGUCCCAGAGACACUGUGGAGGAAACUGAGGACAUUUUAUAAACACAGGUCUUGUUCAUUAAGAAGAGAAGCCUUUCCUAAACAAAUACAAUCCAUGCAUUAUCAGUAUUUUUAUGUAUAUAUUUAUAAGUAGCAUUAGGUGGGAGAAAACCACCCNAAAAAAAAAAAAAAAAAAAAAAAAAACAUGGAAUACUGGAUAACAUACCUAUUUAGUAAAAUAAUUACAGAUUAUUUGCAUAGUACCAAAUGUUUAAUGUUUAUCACAGUUUAUAUAGUCCAAUAAAUCAGUUUUGCAUUUUUAAAUCA